UUAAAAGUGUUUUAUUAAUUUUAAUUUGUAUACAUUUAUUAACCAAAAUUAGUAAAAUAAAAAAAAAAUGAAUACUUGUGAAGUUCAUAAUAUGGAUAGCUAGGAUACUAUAGGUAGUCACAGGAUAAUAAAAAUAAUUAAAAAUACUCUCAUUUUGUAAACGGAAAAGUAAAUAAAAAACAAGAAACUUUUCAAAUAUUUGUCUAAAAAAUUUUUUUAUGAAAUAAUAUGCGCUAUCAACUCUAAAAAAUCGACUAUAUGCCAAAUAUGCCCUAACACCCAAAACAUGCAAAAACAUGCACUAUUAAACUUUAUAUUAUUAUUACUACUGUUAUGAAACGGAUUUGUAUCUCAGUUAGCAUGUUUUUCGGUGUAGCAGAAAAAACAUGCGGAUGCAUGAACUUACGAGCCCUGGUUAUGAUAUUCUAAGUAUUAUACAGUCAGUUAUAAGUAAAAUUAAAUUAUUUAAAAUCUAAAAAGUUACAAUUUAAUUUUGUUUUUUAGUUUACUAUUUUAUAUGGACUCUUGUAUUUAUAUUUUAUUAUGUAAUUAUUUUUUUUAUAAAUAACCAAUAUACAUUGGUUUGUUCAAAUCUGAAUUUUUAAAAAUCAUAAAUUUGUCAAUACUUAUUUCGGGACAUUCAUAGAUGAAUUCCUUUUUUCACACAUAAAUACUAUUGCAAAACUAGUCGCGAAAUAAUAAUAAAAAUUCAUCGUAGUAUCGCCGUAAAAUACUAAAUGAUAAUGAAAUCGGUAUAUAUACGUAUUUUAAUAAUAUUAUAAUAACAAUCGUUUUUGAAGAAUCGUGAUAACAAUAAUAAUAAUAGGUAGGUGGCGGCGGCGGCGGCAACAGCAGCUGCUGCAGCUGUAUAUCAUUACACAUAAAUUUACUAUGAAAUCUUACACACGCGCGCGGUGCUAUAAAUGUUCGGAAUACGAUUAUUUCCCUCUAAAACACGAUGGCGUGAUGAUAAAAAUGAAAAAUUCAAAUUUUGAUACCGGAAGGCACGAUUAAAGUGUGUACCGACUACCGAGUGACAAACGGCGAUUUCGAGAAGCAAAAAUUUCACGACCACCUCGACGAGUUUUUUACCGACGCCCGAGUAAUAUUCGCAAAGUAACUGGCCCAGUCGUC